ensembl:lncRNA
UGCUAGGUUGUAGUAGCGCUGGGUUUUGCCAUCCACCAUACUACUUGCCAGCCAUGAGUAACUGCUGCUGUAUUACAGAGUGGGACUUCGCUGUGCAGUGACAGUGGUACAGGCUUUAGGUUACAGGCCCUUCUGCUAUAGACUUCAGGACUCCUUCCCCUAAGAGCCAUUUGCCAGUGGCUGCACGUGCAGCCUGCAAGGGUGAGAAGCAUCCAUCACGUAUAUCCUGGCUGAUCCUCACAAGGAAGGUGUCUGCUCUGUCUUACAAGACUCCGUAUGGAGUACUGCAUCCAUCAGGCCCUCAGCACAAGAAAGAUGGAGCUGUUGGAGCAGGUCCUGAGGAGGCCACGAAGAUGCUCAGACCUCUCCCUCCUAUGAAGAAAG